rnacentral:rRNA from 1 species
AAUUCGUAAGCAACGCGAAGAACCUUACCAGGCCUUGACAUGCAGAGAACUUUCCAGAGAUGGAUUGGUGCCUUCGGGAACUCUGACACAGGUGCUGCAUGGCUGUCGUCAGCUCGUGUCGUGAGAUGUUGGUUAAGUCCCGUAACGAGCGCAACCCUUGUCCUUAGUUACCAGCACGUUAUGGUGGGCACUCUAAGGAGACUGCCGGUGACAAACCGGAGGAAGGUGGGGAGUGACGUCAAGUCAUCAUGGCCCUUACGGCCUGGGCUACACACGUGCUACAAUGGUCGGUACAAAGGGUUGCCAAGCCGCGAGGUGGAGCUAAUCCCAUAAAACCGAAUCGUAGUCCGGAUCGCAGUCUGCAACUCGACUGCGUGAAGUCGGAAUCGCUAGUAAUCGUGAAUCAGCCAUGGCGCGGUGAAUACGUUCCCGGGCCUU